rnacentral:rRNA from 1 species
GAUGAACGCUAGCUACAGGCUUAACACAUGCAAGUCGAGGGGAAACGAUAUUGGAAGCUUGCUUCCGAUAGGCGUCGACCGGCGCACGGGUGAGUAACGCGUAUCCAACCUGCCCACCACUUGGGGAUAACCUUGCGAAAGUAAGACUAAUACCCAAUGAUAUCCAUAGAAGACAUCUGAAAUGGAUUAAAGAUUUAUCGGUGAUGGAUGGGGAUGCGUCUGAUUAGCUUGUUGGCGGGGUAACGGCCCACCAAGGCGACGAUCAGUAGGGGUUCUGAGAGGAAGGUCCCCCACAUUGGAACUGAGACACGGUCCAAACUCCUACGGGAGGCAGCAGUGAGGAAUAUUGGUCAAUGGGCGAGAGCCUGAACCAGCCAAGUAGCGUGCAGGAUGACGGCCCUAUGGGUUGUAAACUGCUUUUAUAAGGGAAUAAAGUGGGAGUCGUGACUCCUUUUGCAUGUACCUUAUGAAUAAGGACCGGCUAAUUCCGUGCCAGCCGCCGCGGUAA